rnacentral:lncRNA from 1 species
CUUGAGGAACUUUAUUUCAAUUACGAUGUCUUUGAGGUUGAGACAAUUGCAAUAUCUCAUCCAACAAGCCAGCAAUCAAUAGAUCUUGAAUUAAAUAUAGUGGUUGUUGAUUUUCUAUAUUUUUAAUGCCACAAUAUACAAAAAAACCACAAAUAACGAUAGAAGAUAGAAUAUUAUCUUUUCUUGAUCUUUUUACUUUUAUAGCAAAGAUUUGUUAUUCCUCAUCUAAAUUUUGAUAGAUGUCCUUGAUGAAAAGUCUCCACUUUCUUUCCUGCAUUUGUAA